AGAGUUUGAUCCUGGCUCAGGAUUAACGCUGGCGGCGUGCCUAACACAUGCAUGUCGAACGAGGUAGCAAUACCUAGUGGCAGACGGGUGAGUAACACGUGAUCAACCUACCGAAGAGUGGGGGAUAACUAGCCGAAAGGUUAGCUAAUACCGCAUAGGUCGGCGUCGGCAUCGACGCGUGACGAAAGGAGCAAUUCGCUCUUCGACGGGAUCGCGCCCGAUUAGUUAGUUGGUGGGGUAACGGCCUACCAAGACAUCGAUCGGUAGCUGGUUUGAGAGAGCGACCAGCCACACUGGAACUGAGAAACGGUCCAGACUCCUACGGGAGGCAGCAGUGAGGAAUUUUCCGCAAUGGGCGCAAGCCUGACGGAGCGACGCCGCGUGUGGGACGAAGGCCCUCGGGUCGUAAACCACUGUCGAAGGGGACGAUAUUGACGGUACCCUUGGAGGAAGCCCCGGCUAACUACGUGCCAGCAGCCGCGGUAAGACGUAGGGGGCGAGCGUUAUUCGGAAUCAUUGGGCGUAAAGCGCUCGUAGGCGGCUCAUCAAGUCCGUGAAGAAAGACCUGGGCUCAACCCAGGGAACGGCACGGAAACUGUCGAGCUUGAGGUCAUCAGAGGGUAAUGGAAUUCCCGGUGUAGCGGUGAAAUGCGUAGAUAUCGGGAGGAACACCAGUGGCGAAGGCGAUUACCUGGGGUGAAUCUGACGCUGAGGAGCGAAAGCUAGGGGAGCAAACGGGAUUAGAUACCCCGGUAGUCCUAGUCGUAAACGAUGGAUACUAGGUGUAGGAGGAUUCGACCCCUUCUGUGCCGUAGCUAACGCGAUAAGUAUCCCGCCUGGGGAGUACGACCGCAAGGUUGAAACUCAAAGGAAUUGACGGGGGCCCGCACAAGCGGUGGAACAUGUGGUUUAAUUCGAUGCAACGCGAAGAACCUUACCUGGGCUUGACAUCCUCGGAACCUCUGUGAAAGCAGGGGGUGCCUUCGGGAACCGAGAGACAGGUGGUGCACGGUUGUCGUCAGCUCGUGUCGUGAGAUGUUGGGUUAAGUCCCGCAACGAGCGCAACCCUCGUGGUCUGUUGUUACAGGUCGUAAGAUGCUGAACCCUCAGGCCAGACUGCCGGUGACAAACCGGAGGAAGGUGGGGAUGACGUCAAAUCAUCACGCCCCUUAUGUCCAGGGCUACACACGUGUUACAAUGGGAAGAGGACAAUGGGUCGCUUGGCAGCGAUGUCUGGCAAAUCCCCUAAACCUCCCCUCAGUUCGGAUCGUAGUCUGCAACUCGACUACGUGAAGUCGGAAUCGCUAGUAAACGCAGAUCAGCACGCUGCGUUGAAUACGUUCCCGGGCCUUGUACACACCGCCCGUCACACCACGAAAGAGGGUUACGCCCGAAGUCGGUGCGCCAACCGUAAGGAGGCAGCCGCCUAAGGUGGAACUUUUGAUUGGGGUGAAGUCGUAACAAGGUAACC
rnacentral:rRNA from 1 species